ACGUUUUUUUCUUUGCGAAAAUUAACAAUAUUACUCUUCAGAUCAAACGCCCAAUAAAACAUUUAACGCAACACCAGCGCAAACGUAUCAACAGCAAUAUUGUUCUUGUGGAUCUCUCUGGCUGAGAAGUAAACUGUAAAGCAACGAAAAAUCACCCACGACGCAGCUUGCUUAAUCAAUUCCACUACAGUAACAACUCAUUGGCCGCAGUUUUGCAGCGGAUUGCAGUUGACCACUUCACUGGAGAAACCAGUGUGCAAUCUAUAUUGAAACGGACGUUGUGUAGUAACGAGACUAGUAUGUUUAAAGUAAAAGAAAACGAACAAUCCACGGAGAAACUCAUCGGAGCCAACAAAAAAGGGACCAAACCGACUAACAAUGAAAAUUCAAAUGAUACUUGCGUA